UACACAAUAGGUGGUGUCACAAUUGGUGGUGUUGGUACUACAGGUGGAUAAACAAUGGGUGGUUUUGGCACAUAAGGUGGUGUAACUGGCACAACUGGUGGUUUUGGGAUAUAUGGUGGUCUAACUGGGACAACAGGUGGUUUUGGGACAUAAGGAGGGUUCACAAUUGGUGGUUUUGGAACAUAUGGUGGUGUAACUGGCACAACUGGUGGUUUUGGGACAUAGGGAGGGUUCACAACUGGUGGCUUCGGGAC
rnacentral:lncRNA from 1 species